rnacentral:lncRNA from 1 species
UUCUAGUCCACAAAAGGUGUUAGGAUGUUCUCUGCUAAUUUUCAUACUUCAGUGCAAGAACCGAGUUGCCCUGUGCUUCCUGGGUAUGUGGGAAGGAGCUGCCUCAAAACCCGAAGAUGCAACCCCAGGAACGGUGUGCCUUGGCUUGCAAUGCUCUUUCUAGCAGGCCCCGUGCUGCUACAUGAAUUGGAAAGUGAAAACUACAGAUUGAUUUUUUGGUCUCCAAAGCUGAAUGAAACUGAAAGAGUGAAAGAAACCACAGGCAACCCGACAGCUGUCAGUUGGGUCUAUGAAAUGGAGGCUUGCCUUACAAGACAGACUGUGGGGAUUUGUC